rnacentral:rRNA from 1 species
AGAAAGGUUGCUGCCUCGGAGCCCAUCGAUAUUCUAAACAUCAAGCUGAAAAGAUUUAAAUCUUAUUUCAAGGGGUGGGGUUCGGAUAAAUUUGGACAUGCUAAAAGACGUAAAGAGGAUCUACGACUUGACCUAGAGCUGCUGGAAGAGGCAGAGGAGGAGGGCCCCCUCUCGCCCGAGCUAUACUCUAGGAAAUCUGAUAUUUGCUUUGAGCUCCAUGAGCUGCUGGUUGCUGAAGAAAUUUACUGGCUUCAGCAGUCUCACGAACGCUGGCUGCUUCGAGGUGAUCGUAAUACAGACUAUUUUCACAAAAUAGCCAAUGGCUGCAAACAAAAAAACACAAUCCAUGCUCUCAAAUGUGGGGAGGUGGAGAUUGGGCACGAUAAUCUGUUAGCCCACGCCACAAAUUUUUAUAAAGACCUCGUUGACCCUGCCCCAGGUAACAUGUUUCACCUAGAUCCUGAUACUUGGGGGGAUGAUGAAAAACUCGGCCAGAGAUAUGUCGACCUAAUUAGAGAGUUUUCUGAGGAAGAGGUCAAAGAUGCUCUGUUUGACAUGGAUAUCAACAGAGCUCCAGGGCCUGAUAAUAUUCCUGCUAAAUUUUAUCAGUGCUGCUGGGAUAUAGUCAAAAGUGAUAUCACUAACUCUUCGCGCCACGACACCACUAAGAACACCUUUAUCAACAUCCCGCGCAUUUCCAUGAGGAGGUGA